rnacentral:lncRNA from 1 species
GGGAGGGUCCCGCUGCCGUCGCCGCCCGGCCGGUGCCGGUGCAAUCAGCCUGGAGAAGGGAUGGGAUUGACCCCGGGUCUCCCCACAGCAAGCCGGCGCUGAGGACCCGGGUGUUGGUGGUCGGUGAUGGUGGCUCCCGCUCUCGUGUAUGAAGGAUGGAAUAUGUCCGCUCUCUGUAUCCAGACAGUGAAGAGUGAUAAGAGUUAUGAGGAUGUCCACCCUUGAUGGAUUAAAUGUGAAACAGAGAAAACUUGCACAACUGAAUCGUGGAGAGAUAACUUCAGUUAAUCAGAAAUCUGCCGUCGUAUGGAGAACUCAUUCACCCAUGACGCUAGGUCCACGGCAAAGUGGGGGGUUCUUUGUCUUGCCAAACCCCGCUGGUCCAGAGGAGGCCAGGCUUCGGCGUCCGGUCGUCUGAGACGGAGCCCGU